UCAGCAUGUCGCGGUGAAUACGUUCCCGGGUCUUGUACACACCGCCCGUCACACCACGAGAGUUUGUAACACCCGAAGCCGGUGGCCUAACCGUAAGGAAGGAGCCGUCUAAGGUGGGACAGAUGAUUGGGGUGAAGUCGUAACAAGGUAUCCCUACCGGAAGGUGGGGAUGGAUCACCUCCUUU
rnacentral:ncRNA from 1 species